UUCAUUUUUUUUUAAUAAUUUUCUCAUUAAGUAUAUGAAGUUAUGAUUGAUAAAUAAUUUUAUUAAUAUGUAUUAAUUUAUUUUACUUAAUAUCAAAGGGAUAAGGUUUUAAAAAUAGGUUUAAGGUUUUUUUUUGUUUUAAUUGUAAAGAUAUUUUUUUGUUGUUUAAAAAAAAAAAUGUUCUGACCGAGAAAAUCACUCCAGUGGAAUUUUGAAAGCAAACCUUUCAAACGGCGAGAGUAUGUUCGGUCGUGACGAAACAGUUUGGUGGGUGAGCGCCGGUUUUUUAUUCUCUUCAACAAGAGCGUGACCUGUCACAACUGGUUUACUUGUUGGGGUAGUGUGUGGCGGUGGUCGCGAAGGUGUCAUUCGCGUAUCGGCAUGCCUAGAGUGGUUUUGUGUAUCACGGACUCAAGUGCGUUAUUUUGUUGGUUUUGUUUUCUUUGACGGUUUUAUGUGUUCAAUUCACUCUGUUGAUUGCAUCGGGCUCAACUGCUUUACUUGACACAUUCACCAUCUUCAUUUGGGUACAGAAAGCAAGAUUCUAUCAUAGGAAUACUGAAAUGUAGUGUAAGCAACUGUCAAAAUAAUGCUGAAUGAAUGGCGAGGAUAUGUAAAUGCUCAUUUUAUGAUCUUUGUAUAAAUAAAUAUAUGAACCAAAUGUGUUCAUCUUGUAAAAAAACAGAAAACUUCAUGGAUGAACUCUUGAUCGUGUUCAAGGUGAUAGCUUAUCAAUUCAAAAAUUGAUUGUGAAAAUGCAACUUCUCAAAAAAUGCUUUCAUAUAACUUUUUUAUUAAAAAAAAAUUAAAAGUUCUUAUAAGUUUUAUUUUA